AUCGACAACCACGCUACCUGAACAAGCACGAUCUGGUCUGAUCUCAGAAGCUAAGCAGGGUGGGGUCUGGUUAGUAUUUGGAUGGGAGACCACCUAGGAAGACCAGGUGCUAUAGGCA
rnacentral:rRNA from 1 species